GAUGAACGCUGGCGGCGUGCUUAACACAUGCAAGUCGAACGAAGCACUUUAUUUGAUUUCCUUCGGGACUGAUUAUUUUGUGACUGAGUGGCGGACGGGUGAGUAACGCGUGGGUAACCUGCCUUGUACAGGGGGAUAACAGUUGGAAACGGCUGCUAAUACCGCAUAAGCGCACGGCAUCGCAUGAUGCAGUGUGAAAAACUCCGGUGGUAUAAGAUGGACCCGCGUUGGAUUAGCUAGUUGGUGAGGUAACGGCCCACCAAGGCGACGAUCCAUAGCCGACCUGAGAGGGUGACCGGCCACAUUAGGACUGAGACACGGCCCAAACUCCUACGGGAGGCAGCAGUGGGGAAUAUUGCACAAUGGGCGAAAGCCUGAUGCAGCGACGCCGCGUGAGCGAAGAAGUAUUUCGGUAUGUAAAGCUCUAUCAGCAGGGAAGAUAAUGACGGUACCUGACUAAGAAGCACCGGCUAAAUACGUG
rnacentral:rRNA from 1 species